UACAGAGGUCUCAAGCGUUGUUCGGAUUCAUUGGGCGUAAAGGGUGCGUAGGCGGCGCGGUAAGUCGGGUGUGAAAUCUCGGAGCUUAACUCCGAAACUGCAUUCGAUACUGCCGUGCUUGAGGACUGGAGAGGAGACUGGAAUUUUCGGUGUAGCGGUGAAAUGCGUAGAUAUCGUAAGGAAGACCAGUGGCGAAGGCGGGUCUCUGGACAGUUCCUGACGCUGAGGCACGAAGGUCAGGGGAGCAAACGGG
rnacentral:rRNA from 1 species